rnacentral:rRNA from 1 species
AAAGGAAUUGACGGGGGCCCCAACAAGCGUUGGAGCAUGUGGUUUAAUUCGAAGCAACGCGAAGAACCUUACCAGGUCUUGACAUCCAGGUGGUGCAUGGUUGUCGUCAGCUCGUGUCGUGAGAUGUUGGGUUAAGUCCCGCAACGAGCGCAACCCCUAUUGUUAGUUGCCACUCUAGCGAGACUGCCGGUAAUAAACCGGAGGAAGGUGGGGAUGACGUCAAAUCAUCAUGCCCCUUAUGACCUGGGCUACACACGUGCUACAAUGGUUGGUACAACGAGUUGCGAGUCGGUGACGGCAAGCUAAUCUCUUAAAGCCAAUCUCAGUUCGGAUUGUAGGCUGCAACUCGCCUACAUGAAGUCGGAAUCGCCAGUAAUCGCGGAUCAGCACGCCGCGGUGAAUACGUUCCCGGGCCUUGUACACACCGCCCGUCACACCACGAGAGUUUGUAACACCCGAAGUCGGCGCCUAAGGUGGGAUAGAUGAUUGGGGUGAAGUCGUAAC